CCUGCCGAAAGGCGGGCUAAUACCGGAUAGAGCGAGAGGUUCAUAAUGGACCUUUCGGGAAAGGGAGCUCGCAAGAGCCUCCGUUUUGGGAUGAGCCUGCGUCUCAUUAGCUAGUUGGUGAGGUAAUGGCUCACCAAGGCGACGAUGGGUAGCUGGUCUGAGAGGAUGAUCAGCCACACUGGAACUGAAACACGGUCCAG
rnacentral:rRNA from 1 species